GUUAGUUAACAAAUGAAAAGAAAAGGUACUUUAAAAUUAAAAUCGUUCAACAGAUGAGAGGAAAAAUAUAGUAUUUCCCAAAGACAGAUUGUUAAUAAAAUACCAGUAAAUCUAUUUAAGAAACGAUUUGAGAAGCCUUCUUGCCCACAGCAGUGUGUUGCUGUCUCACAGUUCACCCAGUGCCUUUGCUCUUAAGUUUGUCUCAUUGGAGUAUGAAAAUAUUUUCAUUUUGCAAACAUCUGUUGAAAUCAGUUGUUGAAGAUCUGAUUCCACAAGAGGAACCGUGUCCUUUAAAGGGGAAGCAACCGCCCAGUUGUGAUUUUGUUAAUUAAUGAUAUAGCAGAAAUCUUUUCAGAGAAGAAACUCACCAAGACAUUCCCCUCUGAGAGACUCUCAAUGACUCUCCCAGUCUUUGUUCAAUACUUUAUCAACGAUUCCUGUGUUUUACAAUUUGCAGGGCAAGAGGAAUACCACGGAGCUUCCUUCCCUAAACCUUCAACUUUGAUAUCGCCCGAUUUCAACCCAACCGCGCAAACCAAAGGGAAAGCUCUCGUUGUCAUAAAGCGCACUGAAGUGACCUGGCGUGUUUUAGGCGCUCUCAGUUCAGACCCUGCCUGCCUUGACGGGGUGCGCGGCUGCGGGAGGAGCGGGCGGGGAACGUGGCGGCCCCGCAGCUGCCCGCUAGGUCGGGGGAAGCGGAGCCGCUUCUCCCGUGGGCACGGACCCCCCCCCCCCCCCCCAACCCACCCUCUCCACCUCCAGCAAUAAUUACGCUCCUAAAUGUGACAACCGUAGCUGUUUGUUUUGCCCGGGCAGAGCUCGCUUUUCGACUUGCGGGAAAGAGGGUGAGCUUUGAAACCGAAAUAGAGGCAAAAGAGCUGCAACCUCUCGGGCAGGGCAGCCCCCCCCCCCCCCGACCGCACCGAUCCGGGCCGGGCCCGCUGGGGAUAAGGUUUGUUCCCCCAACACCAGCGCUGCCGAACAAAAGGGAGAAAGAGAGAGAAGAUAAUAUUUGCUCAGGUCCCCCCUCUGUUCGCCUUUGAUUUAUCUGUUUACAAGCGGGACCCCCUCAGUUGAAACAAAAAAUCAAUGAAAAUGUAGUUGGAGAAAAGGCGGGCAAAGUCCUGAGAAAAAAAAAAAAAAAAAAAAAGAAAUUUGUGAAUGGAAGAAUGUGUUUGUGCAUUCAUUGUUAAAAUAAAGAGCGAGCCGUGACGUGAGCGCCCGCCAGCCAAUGGGCGCAGGGAUAAUAUUUUUAAAUAUCCUCCCCGGGAGCCAAUGGCGGAGGAGGUGGCAAAGACUAGCGCAGGGGUGAGCCAAUGGCGGGGGUGGUAUGCUAAUGAGGAGUUGGUCAGGCAGGAGCUGAAUGUCAACUAGUCAAAGAUGGAGGCUGGAGCGGGGCGGCCAUGAGGCAUGGAAUGAAGCUCCCUCCAGUCACCUGCUGCAAGACACAUUAUCCAGCUUCCUAACCUUAAGGAUGAGACCCUAUCAAUAUUGCCUCUGCUUUUGUGAUCAGGGUAGUAGUGCAAUAUUGCUUAUAGGGUCUUUUCUUUUGAGGGUUAUUCAUCACGGACAGAAGAAAGCCACAGCGGGAAAAAAAUAAUACUAUGUGCCCAUCGAGUUAAGGGAAAAGUUGUGAAAUGCUGAGCGCUGUUAGAUAGGCAAGUAACUGCAGAGAUGGUUUUUGUGACAAAUAAUCGUGCUAUUGUGGUGACUCCGGUUGUGAGUAAUGGGCAUAUUUUUGAUGCUAUCACACGGGAUUCAAAACGGCCUCUUGUCUAAAAUGCACAGGAAUGAUUGAAACCGGAGAAACCCAUCACGGCUCCAUUUUAAAAUAGUAUGAGUCCCGAGACAUUUGAAGGGUGCCUGUUUUACAUAAUGAUGUAAACACCCACCAAGGGAUGGGAGGAGAUACAUAGCCACACUUGCUGUUUCUGUGCCUGAUCCCAGCCCGAAAACCGGUGGUGAUGCGAAGCAGAGCACAGCACAAAGAGACAGAGGCUUUAAUCCCAGUAACCUCCUCGAAACAAAGCUCAUGCCUCCGUUGGCGAGCAGGGCCCGCUAGCUACAGAUCUGGGCUCAGUGGCCGGGCCGGGCGCUGCCGCCGGGGGCUGCUCCUGGGUGCAGCGGGGCUGGGGACGGCCUCCGGCCCUUCCCGAGAGCUGCGCACCGAGGUACGUGGGAACGGAGCCGGGAUAGGGGUGUUCAAUCUCCUCUGCUUUGUGAGGGAUCAGCUGGGGGUUGACAGCAGCUGGGAUGGCCGAGUGGGUGGCCCUGCCUUCCAUUUCAGGUGGUCCCCGCGGUCCCUUUCGGGACCUCAGGGGCCCAGGGAAAGGGUUGGUGGGAGGGGACUGGAGGCCGGAUCAGGGCGCGGCGGAGCAGCCGCUGCCGCGGAGGUUUCUGAGCCGGUUCCCCGGAGGCGCUUCUCCCCGCGGCUCGCCUCGCCUCGCCUGCCCGCGGGCGUGCAAGAAAGGGUCCGAAGCCCUACGGCGGGGCCGUGCCCGCUGCCUCCCCAUUGAACGGCUGACCCUGCCUCUGCCCUCGGUUUAAAUCCACCUCCCCAGCAUCAUUCUGGGGGGAGGCGUCCAGCUCGGGGACAAAGCCAGGAUCGCCCCCCGGGCUCUCCCUCCGUGCACCCGGCCGGGCUGCAGGCCGAGGGGCUGCCGCGGCUGCUGGGCCAGCGCUGGGACCACCGGGCGGGCUGCCCCUCUUUCCCUGUUGCACUACUGUCACGGUCGCAGCGAGCAGUGCAAUAAUGAAAGGGCGUCAGUGCGCCGGGGAGCGGCGAGAGCCGGGGACGAGCCGGUGACAGCGUGCGGGGACGGGACGUCCCGCCGCCCCCCCGAGAGCCACCUUAACGGAGGAAGUGGGGGGGUUCGGUUGUGCAACUUUCUUUGUUUAAACACGCAGCGGCGGAGCGUGUGCGCGCAGGGGCAGGGCAAGGUGAGCGGCUCCGCGCACCGCCCUGGCCUGGGCGCGCGGCGACUCCCGUCCCACCGGCCCCGGCGGAGCCCGGCCGUGACGCCCCUCCGCUGUGCCCGGCCAGCGGCAAAUAAAUAAAGUGACUCCUACGUC